UUUGAAGCUGACGUUUGGGUCACCGGUUAAAAAUGCAAAAUUUGGUAAUAAAACCCGGUCAAAAGUUUUUUUUUAAAAAAAAACUGCUAAUAGCUAGUAAUUUACAAUUUGGGAAAUAAAACCUGACAUAAAGUACAGUAUACUUUAAAAUUUUCGAAUAAGAUGAAUACCAAACAAUUAAUGGGACCGUAUAUUAAAACGGAGAAAGUGGAACGAAUUGUACUUGAGUUGUAGGACUAGCACACAUGCAUAUGUCGUCCUUGUAAAGUAAACGUGGAGGUAUAUUACUGGGAAGUUGAGUUUUUUCUGUGCUGUGUGUUGGGUGCGCGCGUGCUUAAUCAUAUUAAAUUUUAGUUUAAAUCUUUAGUUUUCCUAAGCCACUACCAACAGUAACUUGCUUCACCAGCGACCAAUAUUUUGCUAUAGUGCAACAGUUCCUUCCGGCUGCGCAGUGGCGUAGCCAGGAAUUUUUCUUUAGGUAGUCCUAGUUCACACGUUCAUGUCACGUGGUAAAAUUUUCCUUGCACCAUAAAACUGAUAUACAAAUACAAAUUUUGUGAAAAUGUGAUAGAAAUAAUAUCUUCCAAUGUCCAUAAGCGGCUUACUUAACAAGCAAGUUCAAAAUGUGCAAAUAUUACAACAUAGAAAGUUCAACAAUCAAUAUAGAUCUUACACAUAAAUAGAAAAUUACAAAGCCACUACCGCAGUGUACGCUUGGCCUUAGUCAUGAAAGUUUGUAUAAUGUCUUCCUCACUAACUUUGGAGAAGAUGUCUUUCUCAGUAUAUGUGACUAAGCAAUGAUUCAAUAGAUCAUCAUAUAUUCACUAAUCAGUAACAAUUUAUAAAUUGCAUACUCAGUUAUUCACAGACUCACUAAUCUCUAAUCACACUUCACAAAUCGAUUUAGCCAUUUAGGAAGCUAUUCGUUACCUGGGCUGAGCCACGGAGGGGAGACGGCGGCACGGAGCGGCGUCGGCGCGGACGGCGGGGAGGCCGAAGGGGAGGACGGUGUGGCGCUGGCGCGGACGGCGGUGGCGACGCCGGCACGGAGACGCGGAGUCGCGGCCUCGCGAGGAGGGGAUGGGACGGCGGUGGCGGCGCCGCCUCGCCGGCGGGGAGUCGCAUAAGGAGGGGAGGCCGGAGGGGAUGGCACAGCGUCGGCGCGGACUGCGGGGAGCCGGCUAGCUGGGGACGACACCGGGCACCGGCGCGGAGUCACAGUCUCGCGGAGGCUGGCGGCUGGCGGCGUUGGGCUCGGGCGAUUGGGCGAACUGGCUGAGACGCUGAGUGCCUGGGACUCUCCAACCCUAAUGUUUCUGGGCUAUUUGGGCCAAGCAACCUAUUUGGGCCUAAAUUUUUUAGGGGGUGGGGGGUCUUUGGGCCAAAUUUUAGGGUAGUCCCGAGCCCACCGGGACUACCAGCUAGCUACGCCCCUGCGGCUGCGUGUGCCAUGCGAUGCUCUGUCGUGGCUGUCAUCUGUCCGUCCGCUUGCCAACCCGAUAUGCUUGCCCUCUCCACCACACAUCACACACCCAUCAAUCCUCAAUUCAUCUGCUUGCCCUCUACAGCACACACCCAUCAAUUCUCAAUUUAUGAAAAGAAAUCCCUAAUCCAUCGGAGAAAUCGACGCCAACCCCUCCGCCCCAUCGAUCACCAGUUCGCCGACGACUGCCUUUCUCUUCCCCGACCUGCGUUCUUCCCCACCCACCGCCUGUGAUUGUAGGGUUGCCCCGUGGUGGUUGUCGCUGGUUAUAGUCGUCGUCCAGCUAUCUCUAUUGGUCAGGCUGCCGGCGCACUGGCCGCACCCAUCAAGGCUCCCGAUUGUUGCCCUGGUCGAGCGGCUGCCAUCUGCCAGCACGUCCGCUCCGGACAGCUGACUUCAUCCUCGGUUUUCUUCGCUAUCAAGAGAAAGAAGGCUACUAUGGUUGAAUACUUUGCAUAUAGGCUUCAUGACAGAGCUGAUGACAUCAAUACUCCUAUGCGCUGCAAGAGAGCUGCAAGAGAGGAACCCAGGCUUAUGUCAUAGAUGCCUAUUGUUGUAUGGAAGAAUCUCACCUGAGUCACUACAGAUUCAAGACAUUUCAGCUUAAGUAUAGAGCAGCUUCAUUCAAUGAGUCUCAUCCGAUGGUGCUUGCAAUUUCCGACGACGUGGCUCAUUCUUCUUUCAAGCAGCUUGCUGCUUUCACCUAUCUAGAAUCCUUAUGGUCAGAGGUAACACAAGCUUUGGCUACCAUCCCUGGGCAACACUCAGCUGAUAGGCCUGAUAUUAUUAAUCAUGUAUUCCAUGUUAAGCUGCACCUCUUCAUGAACGACAUCGUAAAGAAGAAAUUUUUUUGGCCCUGUCACUACAGUUGUGUACACAAUUGAAUUUCAGAAGCAUGGACUUCCACAUGUUCACAUCAUAUCGUGGUUAGAUAAGAGUGGUCCAUUGACACUUGCUGAUAUUGACAGACUAAUAUCGGCACAGCUUCCAGAUCCAUCCAUUGAUCGAGUUGGUUAUGACGCUGUUGCGGCAUUCAUGAUGCAUGGACCUUGUGGUGAUGCAAAUCCAUAUUGUUCAUGCAUGGUUGACAGUAAAUGCUCAAAGAAUUACCCAAAGGAAUAUUGUGAUAAAACAACAAUCCUGCCAAAUGGCCAUGUAAGGUAUGCUCGGCCAAAAAAAUGAUAUAAUUGUUGCCAAAAAUGAAAUUUCUCUUGAUAAUCGGCAUGUUGUCCCCCACAAUAUCGAUUUAUUAGUCAAAUAUGAGGCGCAUGUCAAUAUGGAAAGAGAUAAUCGUGAUGGAAUGGAAAAGUAUCUAUUCAAAUA